CGGGCCGUAGCGCAGCCUGGUAGCGCACUUCCUUGGGGUGGAAGGGGUCGGGAGUUCAAAUCUCCCCGGCCCGACCA
rnacentral:tRNA from 1 species